GACGGGGGAUGCAAGCGUUAUCCGGAAUCACUGGGCGUAAAGCGUCUGUAGGUGGUGAUGCAAGUCACUGGUGCAAAACUCUGGCACAACCGGAGGAAAGCCAGUGAAACUGCAUGACUAGAGUGUGGGAGAGGUAGAAGGAAUUCCCUGAGUAGCGGUGAAAUGCGUAGAUACAGGGAAAAACACCGGAGGCGAAAGCGUUCUACUGGAGCACAACUGACACUGAGAGACGAAAGCUAGCGGGGCCAAUGCG
rnacentral:rRNA from 1 species